rnacentral:rRNA from 1 species
AGAGUUUGAUCAUGGCUCAGAUUGAACGCUGGCGGCAGGCUUAACACAUGCAAGUCGAGCGGAGAGAGGUAGCUUGCUACUGAUCUUAGCGGCGGACGGGUGAGUAAUGCUUAGGAAUCUGCCUAUUAGUGGGGGACAACAUUUCGAAAGGAAUGCUAAUACCGCAUACGUCCUACGGGAGAAAGCAGGGGAUCUUCGGACCUUGCGCUAAUAGAUGAGCCUAAGUCGGAUUAGCUAGUUGGUGGGGUAAAGGCCUACCAAGGCGACGAUCUGUAGCGGGUCUGAGAGGAUGAUCCGCCACACUGGGACUGAGACACGGCCCAGACUCCUACGGGAGGCAGCAGUGGGGAAUAUUGGACAAUGGGCGCAAGCCUGAUCCAGCCAUGCCGCGUGUGUGAAGAAGGCCUUAUGGUUGUAAAGCACUUUAAGCGAGGAGGAGGCUACUUUAGAUAAUACCUAGAGAUAGUGGACGUUACUCGCAGAAUAAGCACCGGCUAACUCUGUGCCAGCAGCCGCGGUAAUACAGAGGGUGCAAGCGUUAAUCGGAUUUACUGGGCGUAAAGCGCGCGUAGGCGGCUAAUUAAGUCAAAUGUGAAAUCCCCGAGCUUAACUUGGGAAUUGCAUUCGAUACUGGUUAGCUAGAGUGUGGGAGAGGAUGGUAGAAUUCCAGGUGUAGCGGUGAAAUGCGUAGAGAUCUGGAGGAAUACCGAUGGCGAAGGCAGCCAUCUGGCCUAACACUGACGCUGAGGUGCGAAAGCAUGGGGAGCAAACAGGAUUAGAUACCCUGGUAGUCCAUGCCGUAAACGAUGUCUACUAGCCGUUGGGGCCUUUGAGGCUUUAGUGGCGCAGCUAACGCGAUAAGUAGACCGCCUGGGGAGUACGGUCGCAAGACUAAAACUCAAAUGAAUUGACGGGGGCCCGCACAAGCGGUGGAGCAUGUGGUUUAAUUCGAUGCAACGCGAAGAACCUUACCUGGCCUUGACAUAGUAAGAACUUUCCAGAGAUGGAUUGGUGCCUUCGGGAACUUACAUACAGGUGCUGCAUGGCUGUCGUCAGCUCGUGUCGUGAGAUGUUGGGUUAAGUCCCGCAACGAGCGCAACCCUUUUCCUU